ACCCGCACAAGCGGCGGAGCAUGCGGAUUAAUUCGAUGCAACGCGAAGAACCUUACCGAGGCUUGACAUAUACGAGAACGCUGCAGAAAUGUAGAACUCUUUGGACACUCGUAAACAGGUGGUGCAUGGUUGUCGUCAGCUCGUGUCGUGAGAUGUUGGGUUAAGUCCCGCAACGAGCGCAACCCUCGUUCUAUGUUGCCAGCACGUAAUGGUGGGAACUCAUGGGAUACUGCCGGGGUCAACUCGGAGGAAGGUGGGGAUGACGUCAAAUCAUCAUGCCCCUUAUGUCUUGGGCUUCACGCAUGCUACAAUGGCCGGUACAAAGGGCUGCAAUACCGUAAGGUGGAGCGAAUCCCAAAAAGCCGGUCCCAGUUCGGAUUGAGGUCUGCAACUCGACCUCAUGAAGUCGGAGUCGCUAGUAAUCGCAGAUCAGCAACGCUGCGGUGAAUACGUUCCCGGGUCUU
rnacentral:rRNA from 1 species